rnacentral:rRNA from 1 species
UACAGAGGUCUCAAGCGUUGUUCGGAUUCAUUGGGCGUAAAGGGUGUGUAGGUGGCGCCGUAAGUCGGGUGUGAAAUUUCGGAGCUUAACUCCGAAACUGCAUUCGAUACUGCGGUGCUUGAGGACUGGAGAGGAGACUGGAAUUCAUGGUGUAGCAGUGAAAUGCGUAGAUAUCACUUGGAACGCCAAUGGUGAAGACAGCUCGCUGGGGGUGUCCUGACUCUGAGGCGCGAAAGCCAGGGGAGCGAACGGG